rnacentral:rRNA from 1 species
ACCGGCAGCUCAAGUGGUGGCCAUUUUUAUUGGGCCUAAAGCGUUCGUAGCCGGUUUGAUAAGUCUCUGGUGAAAUCCCGCAGCUUAACUGUGGGACUUGCUGGAGAUACUAUUAGACUUGAGGUCGGGAGAGGUUAGGGGUACUCCCAGGGUAGGGAUGAAAUCCAGUGAGCCUGGGAGGACUACCGGUUGGGAAGGCGCGUUACUGGAACAAUUCUGACGGUGAGAUACGAAAGCCAGGGGUGCCAACAG